CGGAGGACGGUGUCUUUCUAAUAACAAUGGAGUUACACACGAAGAGCCGUAAUGCACUGCUAAGACUACUUCAGUAUGAAUGGGAAGGUUCAUACCCUUAGUGGAAACAUCUGAAGGGUUUCUUCAGCGGUGUAGCCUCUGGUAACCCCUGUGAAAGGGUCCAUUGACUUCCAAAGAAGUUAUGGCACAGGAUAAGUCCCACUUCCUGAGAGUUUCCAGGAAAGGUAACUGGAAAGAUUGGGAAGCAGAAUGUGAAGAUGUCAUGAAGAUGUGAAAGAAAUACAGCCGAGUCUCAAAGGGGCAUUUUCGGAAAUGAAGCUGUGUCUUAUAACAGGGUACUGGCCCAGCGUGUUCACUGCUGCUCCACUCAUUCAUUAUCACUGGAAAAUAGAGGCAGCCCAGCUGGCAAACUACAGAUGAGGGGAAAAUGAAGACGUGGUGCAUAUUCACAAAGAGUAAUAAUCUCUGAGUUUUAAAGUAGGACCAAGUGCAAAUGAUUGUGGUAAAGUAAUUAUUAUGAACCAGAUAUGCUAGGUUUAGGUAAGAGAACUUACAGACCUUAACAGACCCCUCCUAUUUACAAAGUCAAACAUCAUGUACUGUGGUGGUUUGUGAAGAUCCUUCACAGACUCGGUUUUUUGAAUAAUUGUUUCCCAGCUGGUGGCACUGUUUGGGGGAGCUUACGAGGUGGUUUUGAUGGAG
rnacentral:lncRNA from 1 species